rnacentral:sRNA from 1 species
AAAAAAAAGAGAAAAGAAAAAUAAAAAUUAAAAAGAAAGGAAAGGAAACAUUACAACCAAGAGAGUCUAGUAACAUGGUUCCAUGGA